CACGGGGGGAGCAAGCGUUGUUCGGAAUCACUGGGCGUAAAGGGCGUGUAGGCGGUCAGGUAAGUGAGAUGUGAAAUGCCCCGGCUCACCCGGGGACCGGCAUCUCAUACUGCUUGGCUUGAGUACGGGAGAGGAUGUGGGAAUUCCUGGUGUAGCGGUGAAAUGCGUAGAUAUCAGGAGGAACGCCGGUGGCGAAGGCGCACAUCUGGCCCGAUACUGACGCUGAGGCGCGAAAGCUAGGGGAGCAAACGGG
rnacentral:rRNA from 1 species